rnacentral:rRNA from 1 species
GAAUAUUGGACAAUGGGGGCAACCCUGAUCCAGCAAUGCCGCGUGUGUGAAGAAGGCCUGCGGGUUGUAAAGCACUUUCAGUAGAGACGAAAACCUGAAGGUUAAUACCCUUCAGCUUGACUUAACCUACAGAAGAAGCACCGGCUAACUCCGUGCCAGCAGCCGCGGUAAUACGGAGGGUGCGAGCGUUAAUCGGAAUUACUGGGCGUAAAGGGCGCGUAGGUGGUUUGGUAAGUCAGAUGUGAAAUCCCUGGGCUUAACCUGGGAAUUGCAUUUGAUACUGUCAGACUAGAGUGUGGUAGAGGUAAGCGGAAUUCCCGGUGUAGCGGUGAAAUGCGUAGAUAUCGGAAAGAACAUCAGUGGCGAAGGCGGCUUACUGGAUCAACACUGACACUGAGGCGCGAAAGCGUGGGUAGCAAACAGG